CAGUAGCCGCGGUAAUACCAGCAGCCCAAGUGGUGGUCGCGAUUAUUGGGCCUAAAGCGCUCGUAGCCGGGCCGGUAAGUCCCUUGUGAAAUCGGACGGCCUAACCGUUCGGCGUGCAAGGGAUACUGUCGGUCUUGAGGCCGGGAGACGUCCGAGGUACUCCGGGGGUAGCGGUGAAAUGUUCUGAUCCUCGGGGGACCACCGGUGGCGAAGGCGUUCGACGAGAACGGGCCUGACGGUGAGGGGCGAAGGCUAGGGGAGCAAACGGGAUUAGAUACCCCCGUAGUCCCUGUCUCUUAUU
rnacentral:rRNA from 1 species